rnacentral:rRNA from 1 species
AUUGAACGCUGGCGGCAGGCCAACACAUGCAAGUCGAGCGGAUGAAGGGAGCUUGCUCCUGGAUUCAGCGGCGGACGGGUGAGUAAUGCCUAGGAAUCUGCCUGGUAGUGGGGGAUAACGUCCGGAAACGGGCGCUAAUACCGCAUACGUCCUGAGGGAGAAAGUGGGGGAUCUUCGGACCUCACGCUAUCAGAUGAGCCUAGGUCGGAUUAGCUAGUUGGUGGGGUAAAGGCCUACCAAGGCGACGAUCCGUAACUGGUCUGAGAGGAUGAUCAGUCACACUGGAACUGAGACACGGUCCAGACUCCUACGGGAGGCAGCAGUGGGGAAUAUUGGACAAUGGGCGAAAGCCUGAUCCAGCCAUGCCGCGUGUGUGAAGAAGGUCUUCGGAUUGUAAAGCACUUUAAGUUGGGAGGAAGGGCAGUAAGUUAAUACCUUGCUGUUUUGACGUUACCAACAGAAUAAGCACCGGCUAACUUCGUG